GACGAAGGGGGCUAGCGUUGUUCGGAAUGACUGGGCGUAAAGGGCGCGUAGGCGGAUGGCACAGUCAGAUGUGAAAUUCCCGGGCUUAACCUGGGGGCUGCAUUUGAUACGUGUUGUCUAGAGUGAGGAAGAGGGUUGUGGAAUUCCCAGUGUAGAGGUGAAAUUCGUAGAUAUUGGGAAGAACACCGGUGGCGAAGGCGGCAACCUGGUCCUUGACUGACGCUGAGGCGCGAAAGCGUGGGGAGCAAACAGG
rnacentral:rRNA from 1 species